UGCUAUCUUAUUAGAUUCGGCCAGAAUAGCUAUUAGGAAUCCGCAAACCAUUCCGAAUGAUAGUUAGAAUUUGUUUGAAUAUGUCCUUGAAUUCAUCCGAGAGGUUAGCAAAACUCAGAUUGGGGAAGAAUAUGGUCCAUGGCUACGUUUUGUUUUAAAAACCAGACCGUCUGUUUGUUUUUUUUUUCCUUUCGCUCUCUUGGGAACAUCAUGGCCGUUCUUCCAUCGCUGUACUGAAGUAUGCUAUCGGUGCAUUAUGACAUGCUAGCGAUCUAUUGAAUCCAUCAACUGCAUUUUCACAACUCCAUGCGAAUCACAUCAUCUAUAGCAAGCACAAAAGAAUUGUUCUUCUAUCCAUUACUUUCAAGAAUCAUGGGUGGGGGGUGAAAGAAUGAAUCUUCUCGUUUUCGCGAAGAUUAUUAGUUGGAAAUCAAACGAA